AAUAUAGUCCCUCCGUCCGAAAAUACUUGUCAUCAAAAUGAAUAAAAGGGGAUGUGUUUAGACAUAUUUUAGAUCUAGACACAUCUUUUUUUGUCCAUUUUGAUGACAAGUAUUUUCGGACGGAGGGAGUAUUUU
rfam:Triticum aestivum genome assembly, contig: Triticum_aestivum_CS42_TGACv1_scaffold_329907_4BS